AUUGAACGCUGGCGGAAUGCUUUACACAUGCAAGUCGAACGGCAGCACGGACUUCGGUCUGGUGGCGAGUGGCGAACGGGUGAGUAAUGUAUCGGAACGUGCCCAGUCGUGGGGGAUAACGUAGUGAAAAUUACGCUAAUACCGCAUACGAUCUAUGGAUGAAAGCGGGGGAUCGCAAGACCUCGCGCGAUUGGAGCGGCCGAUAUCAGAUUAGGUAGUUGGUGGGGUAAAGGCCCACCAAGCCAACGAUCUGUAGCUGGUCUGAGAGGACGACCAGCCACACUGGAACUGAGACACGGUCCAGACUCCUACGGGAGGCAGCAGUGGGGAAUUUUGGACAAUGGGCGAAAGCCUGAGCCAGCCAUUCCGCGUGCAGGAAGAAGGCCUUCGGGUUGUAAACUGCUUUUGUACAGAACGAAUAGGUUUCUACUAAUACUAGGAGCUCAUGACGGUACUGUAAGAAUAAGCACCGGCUAACUACGUGCCAGCAGCCGCAGUAA
rnacentral:rRNA from 1 species